rnacentral:rRNA from 1 species
UACAGGGGGUGCAAACGUUGCUCGGAAUCAUUGGGCGUAAAGCGCACGUAGGCGGUUCGUUAUGUCGGAUGUGAAAGCCCUUGGCUUAACCGAGGAAGUGCAUCCGAAACUGGCGAGCUAGAGUACGAAAGAGGAUCGCGGAAUUCCCGGUGUAGAGGUGAAAUUCGUAGAUAUGUGGAGGAACACCGAUGGCGAAGGCAGCCCCCUGGGUCAAGACUGACGCUCAUGCACGAAAGCGUGGGGAGCAAACAGG